rnacentral:rRNA from 1 species
UGGGAACUAGAAUGUGGGGACCUUUCCACGGUCUCCGUGUCGCAGCUAACGCAUUAAGUUCCCCGCCUGGGGAGUACGGCCGCAAGGCUAAAACUCAAAGGAAUUGACGGGGGCCCGCACAAGCGGCGGAGCAUGCGGAUUAAUUCGAUGCAACGCGAAGAACCUUACCAAGGCUUGACAUAUACCGGAAACUUCCAGAAAUGGUUGCCCCGCAAGGUCGGUAUACAGGUGGCGCAUGGUUGUCGUCAGCUCGUGUCGUGAGAUGUUGGGUUAAGUCCCGCAACGAGCGCAACCCUCGUUCUAUGUUGCCAGCACGUCAUGGUGGGAACUCAUAGGAGACUGCCGGGGUCAACUCGGAGGAAGGUGGGGAUGACGUCAAAUCAUCAUGCCCCUUAUGUCUUGGGCUUCACGCAUGCUACAAUGGCCGGUACAAAGGGCUGCGAUACCGUAAGGUGGAGCGAAUCCCAAAAAGCCGGUCUCAGUUCGGAUUGAGGUCUGCAACUCGACCUCAUGAAGUCGGAGUCGCUAGUAAUCGCAGAUCAGCAACGCUGCGGUGAAUACGUUCCCGGGCCU